GGGCCCGCACAAGCAGUGGAGUAUGUGGUUUAAUUCGAAGCAACGCGAAAACCUUACCAGGACUUGACAUCCCUAGAAUCUUUAAGAAAUUAGAGAGUGCCUUCGGGAACUAGGUGACAGAUGGUGCAUGGUUGUCGUCAGCUCGUGUCGUGAGAUGUUGGGUUAAGUCCCGCAACGAGCGCAACCCUUGUUGCUAGUUGCUAACAUUAAGUUGAGCACUCUAGCGAGACUGCCGUUGACAAAACGGAGGAAGGUGGGGACGACGUCAAAUCAUCAUGCCUCUUACGUCCUGGGCAACACACGUACUACAAUGGCAAGUAACAACGAGUCGCAAGACCGCGAGGUGGAGCUAAUCUCUAAAAACUUGUCUCAGUUCGGAUUGUAGGCUGAAACCCGCCUGCAUGAAGCUGGAAUUGCUAGUAAUCGCGAAUCAGCAUGUCG
rnacentral:rRNA from 1 species